rnacentral:rRNA from 1 species
AACGAACGCUGGCGGCAUGCCUAACACAUGCAAGUCGAACGAGACCUUCGGGUCUAGUGGCGCACGGGUGCGUAACGCGUGGGAACCUGCCCUCAGGUUCGGAAUAACUCCCCGAAAGGGGUGCUAAUACCGGAUAAUGUCUUCGGACCAAAGAUUUAUCGCCUUUGGAUGGGCUCGCGUUGGAUUAGCUUGUUGGUAGGGUAAAAGCCUACCAAGGCGACGAUCCAUAGCUGGUCUGAGAGGAUGAUCAGCCACACUGGGACUGAGACACGGCCCAGACUCCUACGGGAGGCAGCAGUGGGGAAUAUUGGACAGUGGGCGAAAGCCUGAUCCAGCAAUGCCGCGUGAGUGAUGAAGGCCUUAGGGUAGUAAAGCUCUUUUACCCGGGAUGAUAAUGACAGUACCGGGAGAAUAAGCUCCGGCUAACUCCGUG